AGGGUUGUGGCUCAGUGGUAGAGUGCUUGCCUGGCAUGUGUGAAGCCUUGAGUUCGAAUCUCAGCACUA
rfam:Ictidomys tridecemlineatus contig066236, whole genome shotgun sequence.